rnacentral:lncRNA from 1 species
GGAAAUAAGAUUCAAGACUUUUUUACUUUUGAUAUGGAUUUAAGUUUUUAAUAUAAAUAUCUCUUUUUUUUCCCUUAGUACUUGACUUGAUUAUCCAUUCCAAUAGUAAUAUGCUGGGUUUUUCUCUUCAAUUUGCUUAGAUAAUCAUACAGGUAAAUGUGGGAUAUGAUUCCAAUCAAAAACACUCCAGCCCUGAUACCUUCUGAAAUAAGGCUAUCACCAGAGCCCAGCCAAUGCCAACACUGUGCCUUUGAGCUUGAGGACGGUCAGUUAAACAAAGCUCUUUUCUUUAUCAAUUGUCCAGUUUUUGGUAUUUUUGUUAUAGUAAUAGAAGAGAGACGAAUGGGAGUCAUUUAAUUGAUACCAAUGGGUAUAAGG